rnacentral:lncRNA from 1 species
CGGACACUUUCCUCUCUGGAGGCACUUUCGGGAAGGUAUCAUCACCUGACCACCUCCACCGGACACCUCCUGGGAGUGUCCCCAGCUGGGUGGACUCUUCAAGCAGUAGCCAUGUGGUAGGAGAGCAGAACUGGCAGCAGUGCCUGGGGGUGAGCAGGACAGAAAGACAGGGAACGCUGUUUGCUGCUGCAAGCUGAGCACGAGUCUUGCCUUAAGUCUUAACAAGGGGAAGAGAUGGAUGAGUAGGAGGGAUGUGAGGAAACAUACAAGCUAACCCAGCAAAGUGAUCCAAAAAACAGAUCCUGGACAUGGAAAAGACAAUGUUUUCUGGAGACAGCUGCGAUACUAGGGUAUGGAAAACAGCAUUUAACUAUUCCCAGGAGGAGAUGAAAUCAAUGGAAUUAAAGUAAAUGGAAGAAAACUUCUCCAGAUCUAAAUCUCAUGGUUUGUGCAAGGUUCUUUCUCGGCUCUUUGAUGGGUUCAUAAUGGUGGCAAGGCAGAAGACAGGGGCAUGA